rnacentral:rRNA from 1 species
UACGGGGGGAGCAAGCGUUGUUCGGAUUUACUGGGCGUAAAGGGCGCGUAGGCGGCCACCGCAAGUCGAUUGUGAAAUCUCCGGGCUUAACCCGGAAAGGUCAACCGAUACUGCGGGGCUAGAGUGCAGAAGAGGCAACUGGAAUUCUCGGUGUAGCGGUGAAAUGCGUAGAUAUCGGGAGGAACACCUGUGGCGAAAGCGGCGCACUGGACCACAACUGACGCUGAGGCGCGAAAGCUAGGGGAGCAAACAGG